rnacentral:rRNA from 1 species
UGGGGAAUAUUGGACAAUGGGGGCAACCCUGAUCCAGCAAUGCCGCGUGUGUGAAGAAGGCCUGCGGGUUGUAAAGCACUUUUGGCAGGGAUGAAAAGCACUGGAUUAAUAACCCAGUGUGUUGACCUAACCUGCAGAAGAAGCACCGGCUAACUCUGUGCCAGCAGCCGCGGUAAUACAGGGGGGUGCGAGCGUUAAUCGGAAUUACUGGGCGUAAAGGGCGCGUAGGCGGUCGAGUAAGUCGGAUGUGAAAUCCCCGGGCUUAACCUGGGAAUUGCAUUCGAUACUGCUUGGCUAGAGUGUGGAAGAGGGAAGCGGAAUUUCCGGUGUAGCGGUGAAAUGCGUAGAUAUCGGAAGGAACACCAGUGGCGAAGGCGGCUUCCUGGUCCAACACUGACGCUGAGGCGCGAAAGCGUGGGGAGCAAACAGGAUUAGAUACCCAGGUAGUCCCUGAGCGGGCUGGCAAGGCGC